GUCUCUGUAGGGCAAUGAAUAUCACUUUGGACUUCUAAUCCAAAGAUCGUGGGUUCGAAUCCCACCUGGGAUG
rnacentral:tRNA from 1 species